rnacentral:rRNA from 1 species
GACGAACGCUGGCGGCGUGCUUAACACAUGCAAGUCGAACGGAAAGGCCCUGCUUUUGUGGGGUGCUCGAGUGGCGAGCGGGUGAGUAACACGUGAGUAACCUGCCCUUGACUUUGGGAUAACUUCAGGAAACUGGGGCUAAUACCGGAUUGGAGCUCCUGCUGCAUGGUGGGGGUUGGAAAGUUUCGGCGGUUGGGGAUGGACUCGCGGCUUAUCAGCUUGUUGGUGGGGUAGUGGCUUACCAAGGCUUUGACGGGUAGCCGGCCUGAGAGGGUGACCGGCCACAUUGGGACUGAGAUACGGCCCAGACUCCUACGGGAGGCAGCAGUGGGGAAUAUUGCACAAUGGGCGGAAGCCUGAUGCAGCAACGCCGCGUGCGGGAUGACGGCCUUCGGGUUGUAAACCGCUUUCGCCUGUGACGAAGCGUGAGUGACGGUAAUGGGUAAAGAAGCACCGGCUAACUACGUG